rnacentral:tRNA from 1 species
UAAAAUAAAGCGAUGUAUUUGCAUUCAGUUUCGACCUGAAUUUAGAAGAAAAAAUUCUAUUUUUUAA